GAUGAAGAACGUAGCGAAAUGCGAUAAGUAAUGUGAAUUGCAGAAUUCAGUGAAUCAUCGAAUCUUUGAACGCAUAUUGCGCCCGUCAGUAUUCUGGCGGGCAUGCCUGUUCGAGCGUCAUUACGCCCCUCAAGUCCCCUGUGGACUUGGUGUUGGGGAUCGGCGAGGCUGGUUUUCCAGCACAGCCGUCCCUUAAAUUAAUUGGCGGUCUCGCCGUGGCCCUCCUCUGCGCAGUAGUAAAACACUCGCAACAGGAGCCUGGCGCGGUCCACUGCCGUAAAACCCCCCAACUUUUUAUAGUUGACCUCGAAUCAGGUAGGACUACCCGCUGAACUUAAGCAUAUCAAUAAGCGGAGGA
rnacentral:misc_RNA from 1 species